AUUGCUUGUAACUUGUACAUUUCGGUGUCGUUCGUGUAGCGGCUAGCUAGACCGUUGUCCGUGCAGGACGGACAUCUCACGCACUAAGGUGUAUGCGGGUUCGGAAUUAGGAACGAUUCAGUUCACAGCUACUCGACCCACUCGGCGCCUUCACCUUCGCUGGACCCCUCCUUCCUACCACUACCUGAUACCCUCUCCUGUCACCCUUGCCCUCGUCUCACUGGCGCCUCUGAUGUGGUGCUGCAUGUGGUUCAUUCCUUCACUCCCUUUUGCCUUCCCUUCCCUGUACCACCGUCUCGCACCUAUCAGCCUGCCAACGUGCUGCUCAACGACCCCCACAGUGACCGGCCCACAGUUAAGCUUACGGUAUGUGACUUGUUGCGAGUUGAGGAACUGAAGAAAGGGAAAGCAUGUACGGCACAUAAGGCGCUCCCACACCCUCGGGCACCGCGAAGGGACCCUCCCACUGCAUUUGUCGUUAAUGUGUGAAUAUGUAUGUACACAUAUAAGCAUGGUUUUCGUGGUGCCUUGCUGUCGCUGUCGUACUGAACUCUUUAAAAAAUAGCAUAGGAAUUCGUCUUUAGCCCGUAUGCGGUACAUGGUGCCAAGGGCGUCUUCACCCUCCCUUAGUUGCAAUUACCGCACCCUGCAUGCGUGCCUUGUUAGUCAGCCAACAAGCCAGCUGGAGGGUCCCACAUAUUUGUUCACGGAGAUGGGCUCUUCCCUUCCCAUGCAAUUUCCAGCGCUGUCGACAUCGACUGCUCGUGGGGCCGCUUAGGGAUUCGCCCGCUUCCCAGCUGCCCCUACGACAGACCAGUUACAUGCCGUAUAAAGCUGCCGUACCGCAACUCUAUCGAUUCCUGCAGGACUUUGGGCUGUCUCGGCUUCGUGUGACGGUGGCUCCAACGGAGCAUCCGGAUGCAGGCACGGUGAGCGGGCAGGUGGCGGCAAAGUGAAUGAGGCGACAAGGACCGCAGGAUUGCGGGAAGUUAGACGGCCAGGACGGGGCCAGCGGAUUUACACAAUCCAGAUACGACAAAUUGGGGCCCUAUGGUGGGACUAACUGUACUCGGCUCCACAGUAGCUCAGGAAACCUCAUUGUGAGCCUCUAUCUACUCGCCUGUAAACCCUCAUUUACCGGUGUGUACGGCACUUCUGAUGGUCUGAAAUCUGACUGCCCAAUCUGCCCACCUUACGUGACAACAACUGCCAUACAACUGCGGCACUCUACCUCACCCCAGCCCGCCUACAUGGCACCGGUGAGUUCAUUCACUGUGUUGGGGCUCCGUGGCUGCUGGGUCCGGGGGUGCGGGAGGUGGGGGAGGUUGUGAUCGUCUUGCUUGUCCAUCAGGUAUUCCGUUCAUGUAUUGCUUUUUGGUAGCUGGUAAUGUUUACUCCAGGACCAUGGUCCAUGAACCCCGUCAGGUGUUGGGGGUGCCAGCGAUGUAAGGGGUUGGGGGUCGCUAUUGGUGACCAGUUCUCGCAGGUAUAUAUCCCUUAAGGAAGAGGAUUUGCGACUGCAAUAUCCGUUUGAAUUCGAAUCAGGGCAUAAUGUUUCCUGUUGGGUUAAGUCCACCCCGGCUACUAAAUGGCGGUAUGUGCCAUGGUUAAAUGCACAGCCGUCCACAGAGACGUGCGAUUCAUGGCACCGCAGAGGGUGCCUGAUGGAGGGUUAGUUAACAUCCAUCCAGAUGCCGGCGGGCAGUUUCGGGAGAUUGGCAACACAACACGGAUCGAUCGGGGCCGCAUACGUAUAUACGUAUAUACCUACCACCUUCCCCACUGUUUCGGGGCACUCUCAUCCUCCUCAUCACCCAACAGGAAACAUUAUGCCCUGAUUCGAAUUCAAACGGAUAUUGCAGUCGCAAAUCCUCUUCCUUACGGGAUGGCUUUUCCGGCAAUGUUGAUAUAUGUCGACCUCAUAGGGAGCCCUAAAUCCCCUGUCUUCCUCUACCUGGUUAAUACUUCUCCCAACCCCUGGUGUCAUCCAACACCCUCCCUUGCUGCAUGCAUGCACGCAGGAGUGCUUCGACUUGCAAAACAGCCAGGUCACACAUAAAGCGGUAAGGGAGGGAUCCAGCAAAGGUGUGAGGGAGAGAGGGCCAGGGUGGAUGAGGGGGACCUACCUACAUACCGCGGUGCGGGAAGGGGUAUCUCGUAUCCCAGAUGCAGGGAGCUAUCAGGCCGACGAUUUAACUGCCCUGAGCCGAUAAAACCGUUCACCUGGGCUACUUGGCUGGCAGACGGCCUGCAGUACAGACCGUUUUUGUGCUUAUCCUGUGCCCGGGUCCAGCAAGCAGGCAGGCUAGGCCGCAUCGUGCCACAACCUAGCCGCCCCCGCCAUCACUGACAAAAAGGCAAGCAAGCAAUGGCUGGCGUCUCUGCAUGGUCAGUGUAUCCCACGUCUCUCAUCAUGGCGCCGUAACCAUCAUGUUUGUGUGUGUGUGGUGGUGGUACUGACGCCUCCGUCAUCGCCACACGCCUUGCUGCACCCUCACCAGGAUAUGUUCGCGCUGGGUGUGCUGCUGUGGGAGAUGCUGGCCUGCAAGAGGCCCUGGCCUGGACUGAACCCGCUGGAAAUCGGCCUGAUGGUGGGUGCAUGCGUGCAUGCAUGUAGAGAUCUCUGCUAACCGUGCUGUAGUGAUGACAUUGGGCGAGCUCCACUGCCUACGAAGGUCAUGGCCGAAUUGUAGCCGCAGCUGCAUUUAUCUGCUAUUUGGCUACUGUGGGCUGCUAGCUGCUCCACUGGCGACCACUUCACAGCGAGUGCCUGCAGGACGCUCGGCCCAUGCCUGCCGGUCAGACUGCCCACCGUGACAGAGCCACUCAUCAUAUGAUACGAAACCUUUAAGAAUGAGUGGACCCUAUGUCCCGAGAGCACAAUGGUUUCUUACCACAGUGAAUUGCGUUUGUGGCCCUUCCUCUAAUAACAAUGGCCGUUUUGUUGUCCGGUAACCUGUAAGCCGGCACAACUUGGCAUCAUGCAUACAUUGAACAGCAUGAAUUACCAGGAAGCCCUCGGAGGAUAUGCGCCUGACUUGUGCACCUUGGUAGGUAUUUCCAGGUAGAUCCAGCCUCUGCGUAACACUGCUGGCGUGAAAGGCACUGCAAUUGCACAACCAUCCGCCAGGGCUGUGUACCGGGUGCAUAACGAUGUUGACGUGCAAAGGUGUUGUUGCCGAUGCACUGACAACGUACAUGCGUCCCAUGCAUAGGUAGCGUUCAACGGCAUGCGCCUUCCCCUGAACGACCUCGUGGUCUCCGAGCGCUGCCCACUCAAGCUGUGUCGUCUGCUGCUAGCCUGCUGGGAGACAGAUCCGGACCGACGGCCGGCGGCUGCAGAGACAGUGAAGGAGCUGGCGCUGAUCUUGGUCAGUAGUGAAAAGGGGGCGGAUGAGCGAGACAAGUUCGAUAUACAUAGCUGGGAAGCUGCAGGCAAAGGAGGGGCCGGUAUUGCGUAUGUAUAAGUAAGAGAUAUUGCGUAUGGUCGUACACUCCUUUAUUAACCAGCUGUCGUGGAUCGUGCCUGUUUCAUGCGUGGCGCUUGGGACGGCGCCAAAGGUCCUAGAGGUCUUGGGUCUUGGGUUCUGCUCAUCCUGCAUUCAACUUGCUGCUGUCUCAACACCCACCUAACCACCAGCCAUAGUACCAGUAACUUGUCAAUCAUGCGCGCUGUAUUGUGCUGCCGCUGCACUCUGCUUGCCGUACCGUUCCACAUAAGUUCCCUAACACACAUGCGCCGCGCAUGUCGUUCCUGCAUGCAUUCACAUACGGCUGUAUGCCUCUUCAGCAACUUCAGCCGCAACAGCAGGUGCAGUUACAGCCACCAUCCGCUGUGGUCAACCCGCCUGCCCUGCAGCAAGGUCGGCAGCUUCAAUUCAAACAGCAGCUGGUGCAGUCCGCACUGGAUAGGACAGGACAGGAAGGCGGCGGUGGCCCUUGUUUGCAGCUACCGACUGCUCCUCGGGCUGAGUUCACUGCCGCGGCCGCUGCUGAUGCUCGGGAUGGUGAUGUUGCCCUUGCCCCGCUGGAGCACGGAUCGCGGCAGUCCAUUGUCCGGGUAUGGCUCCCGGAUAUCAGUGAGGAGAACCUUCGGGGCAAUCCCUCAUAUUCCAAUUCAUUAUCACAAGCAGGAGGGGCAGCUCGAGGAGCAGCAGCAGCAACAACAACAGCAGCAACAGUGGCCUAAGCUAGCUAUCUCGCUGGGGUGGACCAAGGGCGGCUGCAGGAGGGGGGAUAUAUACUUUGUUUUCCUGGUAGGCACGCGUGCACUGUCGUCACGGGAAGUUAUCUGCGGCAUCACUGCACUGAGCAGUUAGGUACUUGUUGAAUCGCUAAUCAGCAGCGCGUGUUUGCGUGCUUUCCCAAGGCAUGCCUCCCAUGUCAGUUGUUUGUCUUGUUCGAUGAACAAAUGGAACAUCUUCGAUUGGUGGUGAAUGACGCGGGUAUGUGUAAUUAAGUAUGUACAUCUGUUCGGAAGCACCAUGCGCGAACGGCUGCAUCAGGAUAAACCUACAUAUUAAGCAACGCACGUGAGCGGCAAAAUGUUUUCCUCGAGGCAAAAGGCUGGACGGGGACCUCGUAUCUUCCUCUUCAGCCGUCCUGUAUGUGCACACACUAAGAAUAUAUGAUAGGUGCUCAAGGGCUGUUGCAAGCAGGCAUAGACGGCUGGACAGCUGCUUGCGGCCGGCCAGACUACAGGGGUGUAUCGCCAUCCUUGUGCAUGUUGUUAGGCGAUCUGCUGUGCGCGUGGCACCCGCUGGAGCGACUCCAGAAAGAUAGCUGAUGCAUGGCCAGCUUCCUGUAGCAGUUACUAUGUAGCGGGCCGGCAGUGCUGCCAUAAGUGCGUGUCUAGCUAGAUGCAUGCAAGCGUGAAUGAACAACUUGGGCACCCUUGUUUGCCGGGGGUGCAGAGUUACCAAAUGACAAUGGGCCCGGGUUCCACCCUGCCCGGAGCUCCCCGCUAUGUGCCGUCUACUUGCACCCGUACUGCCGUCGAGCAUGAGAGGCAUCGGCAUGGGGGGUAAUGCUUGCAUGCGGGUAUCAUGUAGUAAAAGGAGGAUUCCAAUUCGCAAAUAGCAAUGCAAAUGGCGGGAGGGGGUAGCACGUGCGCCUGCUGGCUGCAUGCCGUUGCAUGCGGCACCCUUGUGCUGAUGCCCAGCCGGCGCAUGCCGCCGCUUUUUCCAACACAUGAAGUAGUCCGGUACGAGGUUAUUCGACCCGGAUGGGUGUACUGGCUUGCUAAAGGGGACGAUGUACGGGGAUGUAACGAAGGGUUUCCUUCAGGAGAAGAACUAAAGGGGAUGAUAACCCUCUGGAAACCCUUCUUGUUUACCAUCUGCUUGCUGCCACUAAAGCCGGCGGAAAGCUAGGCAAUUGUGGGGUAUUAGGUAGCUAGGUUUUUAGUUGCACACAUGCGGCAGGGCUAGCUGGUGGGAUAUGGGAUGUUUGCAAGCGUCUCUCUGCGGCGGUAUGUGUCUCGGCGUACUGCACAUGUUCGAGUGGUACUGCUGCAUAUGCACAUGGGAUCCUUAAUCAAUUCCACUUCUCUUGUUGAUGUAUUGUCUCAGUAACUUGGGACGGCUAGCUCGAAACUCGGUAAGGUCAUGUUCUUAAACUUGUCAUUCGAUGCUUUGCUUGGUAAUGCACGAUGCACAGCACGGCUUCCACAGGGCCGCUCGUCCGUUAAUUCGGUGUUUACACCGAGCUUGCGUCCGUCCACGUGGGCAGUGUCCUUGUGGAGAUCACAAGACGCCUUGCAUUAUCGGGUUGAAGGUUCGAAUGGUUAUGAAGGUGCAAUCCUAUUUAGGCCCAUCUAGCUGCGGCGGUAAUGGAGGGGGGAUAAUGCGUGGGUAAGUGCGUGAUAUACGUGAAUAAGUAGCAGUGCCCUUAAGAUUUUGUGAAGCCCUGUUGCGUUUCCGAACAACAAGCAAUGUUGGUAUUUAUGUCACGAGUUACAUUUCUUUCCUUUAUUUGGCUGUCGGUACAGUAUUAGCACGGCCAUCAUCAUGCGUAGUCUCAUGCGGUUAAAAAGGGCCGCGCAAUUUCUAUACGCGCGCGUAUGAGCCUUCUGGCUCUGCUCUAACUAGCUGUUACUUAGACGCGGCAGGAGGGAAGCGACUAGAGUAUCUAAGUUAGGGUUUGAACGGUCGCCUGUCGGCUAGUCAGUUAGUCAGUUGGUCCUGGUGAAACCGAUCGCCGGAGCAUCUUACAAGUAGCUGUUCACGCCUAUACGUCGGCAUUCUGCCUAAACCAUCAGGAGCUGUUCGCUCUUAUAUUUUUUUACAUUCUGCGGUGUAAGGCCCAAUCCCAAACGCUCCAUUUUAUAUAUAUGUGCGUGUGAUCCUAUAUCGGGUUAUUGGUUGGUGGUUGCCUGUUCACUUCUCAUGUAUGGUGCCCGUGCUUGUGGGCCAGGCUUCUGCUGUGAGGGGACGUUGUUAGUUGCUUGGAGCAACGAAACGCCGGGGUGGGUGGACGAGCAGGGUACGUGUUUCGGUGCUGGAAACUUACAGCUAGGCAGGACCACCUACACUCAAACCAAUAAUGUGUCCAUCAUCGUGUACAUCAGCAGCGACCCACAUACGUGCCUUAGUGGAGAUUAUAUGGUAUGAAUGUCACAUGUCCAUCUAUUCUUGCACAUAUGUAUUGAGGCAGAACAGGAAGCAGGGGCUUAGCCAGGAUAUCGUGAUGUGCAUGUGAGGCCGCAACUCGCCUAUCUAGGCAAUAAUAAGAGUAGAUGUCCACGUCCUAUCCACUGUGCACGCCUUCAACAACGCAUUCUCCUUCAUGCACAGAUGGCCUGGCAUGCUGGAUAGGGAUGGUUGCACGCGGGUUUGGUUGCUCGUAGGAAUGCUGAGUUAGCGAUGCUCUGCACUCGAUGUUUCAAGUGUAAUACCAUGCGACACCCUGCACUUCAAGUGUACGCGCCCGAUGGCAGAGAAUUUUGGAGUAUGAUAUGUAUCCUUUCCAAUGCAUGUAAUGCAUGCCAAGACAUUCAGCCGGUUACUUGCUUUGGAUGUUGCGUAAAGCACAAAGCUACCUCAACAGCUUUAUGUCCUGUAUAUAGCCUUCACGGCUCGCUAUAGAGCUGUGUUCGAGGUUUCCUAUCGGAAACAGCGAGGCGGAAACGGAAACGGGGCUGCCAAGGGUCUUAUUAAUUACUGCCAAGGGCUCUUACACUUCUGCAGACUGCUGCUCUCAGAACGACAGCAGGGGCGCGUGUGCACCGAAGCGCGGUCUAGCCCACACUGCGUGGUCAAAGCGCACGCAGCGCUAUCCAGUGCGGCCGCACUGGCACGGCCGACAGAACUGACACACAGCACUAAACGACUAACAGCAGCAUUGAUGAGCGCGUCACGUUCGCUUUACAUCCGCCCCGAGAGCAAACGUGCGGUGUCAGCGACGCACAAACCACAAGCAGUACCUAACUGCUAUGCAUAGCCAACCAGGACAGCAGCCGUUAACCAUUGUGCAAGUUGACUUUGAGGAGGCGUUUGACAAGGUGCCGGGGGAGGUAGUCUGGCUUCGUUUGCAGGAGAGAGGGGUUGAAGGGUCCAUGCUGCAGUCGCUGGUGCGGGCAUACGACAAGGUUAUAUACAAUGGUCAUCAAGACGAAUGGCAAGACUGGGGGCGAAUUUGAGUGAAAACAGGGUGUGAAACAAGGCUGUCCGCUGUCAACUGAGUUGUUUGGACUUUUCAUUGGAACUCUUGCGGACGCCAUCGAUAUGCAUGACGGUGUUAACGCCAGGGUACGGCCGGAGGAUGCACCGAAGGUUGGGAAUGAACGAAUGUCUACCUUCCUCUAUGCUGAUGACGUUAGUCUCAUGGCCACGACACCCGAGCGCAUGGCGGAGCUGCUCCAAAUCGUGGACAUGCUCUGUGAUGAUUUUGGGAUGCGGCCAAACACCGAAAUGUGGACACCUCGGUUUUGCGAGCGACAGCGACGCAAGGAGUGCUGUCCAAAGCAUAGUGUAGUGGGCUCAGGCUGGCUGGGGAGGCAUUACCGGCUAAGGAGACUGCGCGAUAUCCAGGUUUAGUGUACGGUCCAGAACGGCCGUUUCGUGCCUGCCGCCAGCACUUGACGACACAGCUAGGGUAGCUAUGUUCGCACUGGUACAAACAUGAAUCAGCUAAACUUGUUCAUUCCGGAUGUGAGAUGAGGUGUUUUGAUACGCAGGUACGAGCAAUACUGUUGUACGGUUGUCAAAUGUGAGGCCGUUUAUUUUGGCUGAAGUCUUGGACAGGCUCAGGAGGCGGAGUGAUGGGAGUAACCUUGUGGAGGGGCCCUUCGAGACAUGUCUGAAGGAUGGAGCGGUGCAGCUCCAGGUAUUGUUCAUGCAGCAAAUUGUGGAAACUGCCAGACCAGCGCACCUGUCGCUGAAUUGUCGCUGAAUUGUCACGGCUACCCCUACAGUACCACGUUUACAAGCAGAUUGUGAGGUUUUGGAACCGUGUCCAUUUACAGCGUGGCUCUGUGGCACACCAAGUUUUGCGACAGGAGAUCGUCGAGGCUCUUCCAACCCCGAGGGGGGCGGAUGGGGGUCACUAGUCCUCCGUUUUCUGAGUUUUCUGGUGCAUGACGUAGAAAUAGGCCCCGCAGGGGCUACUUGAGGCAGAUGAACGAGUGGAAUGGCUAAUGAACAGGCCAUUGCCAGAAGGUGCAGAAAGUGUGUGAGGAUCGAGCGCGUCUCACCCUAGUCAUGCCGUACUGGACGGCCCAACCUUGGUGGCAACAGUUGAUGGAGUUGGCGGUCGACCUGGUGUUCCUGCCGUCGAAUACGGAGAUGUUUGCACUGGGCGAGGGCGGGUCGAGCACUUUCCUCCCCCCCCCGUCUUGGCAGGUCGUAGCAGUGCGGGUGCAGUUUUAGCGUGGGCGCAGUCGCGUGGCACUCGAGCGGAUAGUGUGGCGCUUCCCCGUUACUCGUUGGAUCUUCAGUCAGUUGCGGCGCCCCCCGUCAUUACUAGCUAAGGCGUAGGGCCUUACGGCCGUUUAAGUGGUACGACUUGAGGCCGGCGAUCCGUGUCCUCAGGAUCGCCUUUUGCAUAAAUAGCGCGUGAUGCAGGUUUUCUGUAUCUUGUUUUUGUUGUUCAGCACGCGCUGAACAACGAGGCAGGUCCCGCGCCUUCGGCGCAGCGUUAUUUUUUUGCGGAAUAUAUUCCGAAUUCGGAAUAAAAAAAUGUUCGUGGUCCUGAAAGUUAAGAAUAAAUAAUGUUCCAACCGUACAAGUUCAUUCCUCCAGCCAAAAAUGGACUGUCCAUGCCAAAGCAGCUAGAAUCUUACAGGAGACAUACAUGUUACCCAUAUCAUAGUACUUUAAUGCCAUGGAUACUGUUUGGAAGCUCACGCCCGAAAGUCAACGAGGAAUCGGACUGUUUCUGACCGGACCAAACGCUGCAAAACAUUCGGACCCGAAGCUCCCAAAGCAUUGAAGGCCAUUAAAGCAGAUACUAAAUUUCACUGAAGCCAUUAGCGACGUUAACGAAGACGGUGUAGGGGUCGUAGGCAAUGUGGACGCAAUGCUGCAGCCAGCCGACGACAAUGACACCACUCCAGUGUAAUAUUACCAGCUCUGAUUUGCUUUGGUCAUUAGGCAUCGUAUGAGUAUAAAAUAUGGGCAGGAAGCGCACUCUUCUCGCCGUUGUGGCCACCGUUGAGGCCUGACAUUGAAGUAGCACCUUUCGCGCAAACCAAAUCAGAUAUUCCUUACUUGAGGUCAUCCAUAUGGAAUUACCUAGAAAUUAAAGUAAGAUAUAACGCCAUGAACGCUAAUCCAGAUACGGAAAGUUACUACCUGGGUGAGGGCCAGGUAAUAACUUUUUUGUCACAAGUUGCCAGGUAAAUACGUGGGCAUCAAGUUCAAUUUAUGUUCUUUCCUAAUCUCUUGCUAACUCCUGCUAGUCCUCUGAAUAGAGAACACGGUGUCCUGAGGAAUUCCUUAAUCCCCCGGCGAAUUCUGCUUAAUCCCGGUGGGAUUUCCACUGCUGGGAUUAGCACAGGGAUUCUGGCCUUAAUCCGCACUGGAAAUACACCCUAAAAGUUUUCGUAACGCAACGUAGCAUGUAAACAUGGUCCGUAACGUUACGAAAACGUUGUGUUCGUAAACCAUCUCUAUUCAAUGGCUUCCUAUUGCCAAAACUUCAGCAGAUCCCCUUACAUGAUACGUUAUGCUGCGAAAACUUUUAGGUUAAAGUGGGCCUGAGAAAGUCACCCAGAUUACAUGUGGCGUUACGACAAUGCUGUGUUCGUUGGCGCGAGCUGCGUAAACCAUCUCCAUUCUAUGGCUUUCCAUGACCAAAAGUUAAGCAUAUCCCCUUACAGAGUCACAGUAUAUAAAUGAAGGGUUUUCGGCGGCCCUGCCUUGUGCAAUGACGCUGCAUCCCGAGCAAGCCCCGAUGGGUUUGCCCUAGCGGCCGCUACGGAUGAAAAUUUUGACAACCUUGAGGAUAUGUUCAUUCUCAAUGGCAGUGCUUGAGCGUGUGGGCCGACGCGGCGCGGCCCUUGCCGCCGGAAGUGCGGCCGACUUGCUGUUUCGCCAGAGGCUUCCGCACGGGUACUGCAAUGAGUUGCAUAUUUGCUAUGUUAGCGGUCGUGAGCGGGUGAGCAACACGAUCGGCGUUGUCCUUGUUCAUUUUUAAAUAAAUGGCAGCGGUGCGACAAGAAAUGCGGUGUCAGCCAUGGAGCAUGGGAGACGUUAUAUGGCUGCAAACAUGAAAACCAACCCGGCACUGUUACCUGGCCCUUCCCUUACGGAAGAAGCCAUUUGUCGAGUUAUUGUUGACUUUUGGGGCCGCAUUCAGGGUUUCGCAGCUUUGGGAAUUCCACGGAAAGGUUGGGAUUCUGUUGGCGCACAUCACCCCUUCUUGAGGAUUAUAUCUGGCAAAUUGCUGUGCUCACGGGAGCGGUUACCGAUGAGCGGUUAAUUAUCUGAGGUGAUGGUCUCUAUUGGUAUAUUAGCCUCUACUGCAGUGCACGGCCAGCUGGCCCGAUGGCUCUACUCUUCGGGAGUCUGGAGCCCACUGUAACAACCACACACAAAAAGAAAUGCGUUCGGAGUUCAAAGCGCGCACGAGUUGUCAACUAUGCGAUCGUGAAAAGCGAUUGGGCUUGGCCGUUUGUUACAACUCGUGAAAUUGGCGAUGCAGUUCAGGUAACGGUACGAGGGGUCAACUUCUCGGUCACUUUACACUUUUCGUCCAACGUACCGGUAAAGCUUUUAGGAAACUAGGCACAACUACAAUGUAAAUAAGAGAUAACCUUCCAAAAUGUCAAUCAGGUUUUUUUAUGAGGUGCUGUAAAGCGUGUUAAUCCGAGAUUGUCAAUUUGAUACUUGGCGGCCAAGUAAGAAGCAAAGUUUUUCCACCGAGUUUGAGCUUUUAGUGAAGGAAAAAUGUGCGCAAUUUAUAACAUCUUGAUCUAUAUAUAACCCGCGAAGUGCGCGAAUAUGGGCGUAGAUCUGUCACUAAUCCCGCCAACCUUAACCUGCCUAAUCCAUCCUAAUCCGCACGAUGUUUCCAUAUGCAACGGAUUUAGCCUGAAUCCAUAAAUUUUAAUCAAAGAAGGAACGCCUCCAUAAUGGAAGAUAGAAAAAGACUGAGAGGCCCGAAGAAGACGGGCAUUACGAACGGAGAAAGAACUGAACUAACGUGGGCUGCGCCGAAAGGGCGGGUGGGCGGGCGCGCACUGAACAAUAAAAAUAAGAUAAGCUAACCAGCUUAAUGCGCGCUAGAAAUGACGGCCCUGAGGACACGGGCCGUUGCCAAACUACGCACUGGGCCUUACGCCUAUCUUACAGUAUCUUACUUAACGAAAACGCAUUAAUCCAAGGCAUCGCACAAGAGACAUGCCCUGAGUAAGUAAAAAUAACUUUAUUUCCCUUAGGUUCCAACAAUAUUACCUCUUUGUAAAGGAAGCUCAGGAAGCUUUCAGCCGUUUCAUGCUGUGGUCGACUUGCGCGUUCAUGUCAUUAAGUAUAAGACGUUGAAUGACCCGAAAUAUUCGUCACAUUAUUUAUGAUGUCAGCAAGAUUGCGCGCAGCAGCGUUGCCUCGGACAUAGUGCCCCGCCCAGCUGCCGGAUUCUACGCAGCAUGGAAAGCGCUUCGUAUAUGCAUAGCUCUGUUGCUUAUACAGGGGCACAAUGGCUUCAACGCCUGCAGAGGCAGCACGAUGGCCCAUUUCGUAUCCGGGGCAGGUUCUUCGCGGCUGGGACAACACCGGCACGGCCGGCUGCUUGUCAGCAGCUCUGGAGUUGCAAAUGUAUCAGAUGGCUCCCUCUUUGUGGCCGCCUUGCGGGAUCCAGCUGUCAAACGUAUUGUUCUCACAUCCCCACUGGUCGAUGUCCCGCCUGAUACCUGGGAGGCGGUCGGCGGCAACCUGCCCAUCCCCAUUACCCGCAACUUGACGUUGGAAGGAGACGAGGCGGACUGGCCGCUCCUGCGCCUCCAUUACGUGACGGACGUGGUGAGCAAAGACGGGGGUGCUGUACAUACUUAGGUGCUGAUGUCAAGCCGGUGUCAUCAUCUAUGGUUUUGAAUGGUACAAAUGAUGAAAUUUCUGUACAAUAUACGCUAUUGCAAUAUAUGCCAUGUAUGCGGUUGCUAGGCUGACACUGUCCCACAUGGCUGCUGUACUUACAUGUACAUCCCAUCUGCCACUCUUGCGUUCCUUGUCAUGUAUCACCAGGUUCGGCUCAUGGACACGGUCAUCUUAGCUAUCCGCUUCCUAUUCCUGGACGGCGCAAACGGAGGCAACAACCAUCGCGAUCAGGGCAAGUUGCCCGUGGCGUUACUCGCUUGAUGGUGUAUACAUGCAUGCAUGCAGCCCGGAAAGCCACAGCUGAAUCACAGUUAUUACAACGGCUGUUCGUGUUGUUCGCUGGGCUGACGUUGCUCCAAGACAGAGGUACAUGCCACGUGCUGGUAGUAAAUGCCUGGCUGCUGCGCCAGGCUUCACUCGCCUUUCCUCCAACUUCCUCCCUCUCAUAAACGGUUGAAGCACGAGGAUGACUAACCCAUCGCAUCAAGCAAUUAGAUAGCAGGUUGACACUGGCUACCUCAUUGACCGAUGCUGUGCAGGCUUUAACUUCCUGGCUUCCACGUUGCCAAACCAAGCAUCAGAAUUGCAGUUUGGGCCAGCAGCCAUGUCAACGAGUAAGUCCAACCAGCCAUGUGUACCUUGAUGCCCAACAUCCAGUACAGCCACACACGCAUGCAUCCACCUCCAUGUGCUGAUGAUUUACACUUCUUUCAUCACUGGUAAUUGGAGAAUGCAUGCACGUGUUGAUGUGGGCAUGAACAUACCAUUUGCACUGGUAUGCCAGCACUCACUAUGCAUAUGCAUACUGGUAAUGAGCAAGAGGCCAGAAAGUCUAUUCCGGCAGCACGGUGCCUGGAGCAUGCACUCUUGCAUCCAUUCACACACGGACUAUCCUGUUAGCUGUGUUCUGUCGCCAUCAGCAGCAUCAGCAGAUAUCAUUAGUACAGCGGUCGUGUUGGCACGGUGUGGGCUUCUUCAGCAGGGCGCAUGUAAUGUUUAUGUUACAGAGUGGGCGGCUUCUGGGCCAAUCCGUGGCCAAUGUGCGUGGUGGCGGGUUUCACUCCUGCUGCACCCACGUAUGCCUCCAGGGUUCUGCCUCCCAACCAUAUUGAAGCUACACAGCGUUAAGGCAGUCGUGCCGCCGGCGAAAUACCCGCAUGCCCAACAGCUGGUCGAGCUGGGCUACCAAUAUGCGGAGGUAGGUAGCUAGGUUGCACACAUGACCACCACAUCGCCUGCGUGCUCGCAACAUUGCCUUGUGCUCCCAUGACGGCCUGCAUGGCAGCUUGCUUGCCUAGAGGUAACAUGUUUCUGUUAUAGAGUGGAAGGCUUCUGGGCCAAUUAAACACUGCCGUCCACCAUUUUCACACUGUUCUAGGCAUACGAACUGGAAGUCCAAGGCGGAUGAUUCUGCCUAAUAGAAUCCCUCAUCAUCAUGUCACCCGAACAUCCAUAGACAGAGGGUUCAGCGAUCUCACCACCGGUCCUGCAUGCGAAUCUCGGUCAAUGAACUGUGACCUCAAUUCCUCCGCAUCUAGCCAUUUUCUCACAUUCCCGACAAUGUCGGGGGUCUACCCAGGAAUCAAAUCCAACCUAAAACCGCAAAUUGCAGUAGUGCUUCCAGACCAGACCAGACUGGGGAAAUUGUAGCAUCAGGCAAAGAGUAUUCACGGGAGUGGGAUGCCAAGGGGAUCUGAUCCCUCCUGAUAUUCCUCUUUCCCUUCAAGUCUAGGGCGCCUCGGGGCAUAUCCUGUAGGGCUUUUGCUUACGUAUGCAUUGAUCACCUUGCUUGUUAAGCCUUGAUCCCUGCCUGCAACAGGGUGGCUGCCGCAAUGGGUCCUCCGUGCCGCCACUACAACGAUGCUGGCCAGAUGCUGGCCUCGCAGUGGAGGUGGCGGGUGAAGGCAUCCGCAUUGACCCGUCCUCAGACCAGUCCGUCUCUUCGAACACCAUAUUCUAUCUUCAGAAUGCCAUCUGCCUGUGUGAGCACCCCGUGAGCAUCGCAUGCCUCACAGAGCCGCAGGUCGAACCCAUGGUCUGCUUCAAGGAAACCAUGCGCCAGUUUGAGAAUGUCACGACGUCUUUCUUAGACGAUUACCGACCAGAUCUGCAGCUUCAUGCCCUAGAUGGUAAUGCCUCUUCACCACAAGUGAAGCAGACGCAGCGGCAGGACAGCACACCGCCGCCGGCAAGCGGCGCGGAGGAAGACCAGGCCCGCAGCCGUGCAGUGGUAGUAGGGGCUGCAGUGGCAGGUGGGAGGGUGAUGCUGGACAGGGCGGGGUGGGCAGAAAAACAGCGGAGUGCAUAUUCUGCACAUGCCACGUGCCACAUGCCAGGCGGUCCGAAAUGCUGUGCAGGGAGCAUGUUUCUUUCUCCUAUCGUUCAGGUUACGUUUCUAAAUAUAUCCCUGGAAAGGCCAUUCCUUAAGGACAAGACAAGGAUUAGAGAUCGCAAGGUUGCAGAUCAAAUCCAAGACGGAACAAAUGGUUUAAGGAGUGCAGCUUGUAUAGCCUGGUAGUAGGGUUCGAGUCCGCCCCGGCUACUGAUGGCGGGUGGCUUGAGCAUCCAACCAGAUGCCAGUGGGCACGUGCCUACCAUGAGAUCACAUGUACACAUGCAGACAUGAGCAGACAUGCAGGUCAUGACCUGUUCAUGCACGCAAACUUCACGUGUAUGCAGGGACCGUGGUUACCGUGUCCCUGUUCGCGUUGAUGGUGGCGGCUGCAGUGCGCUCGAAGCGGCUGCAGGAAAACUGCAAAGACGUUGGUGGCAGUCGCGCGACCAUGAACAUUCUUUCUUUUUGGACGAACAUCUUCGGUCGCAGCUGCCUUGAGUCGAGAAGGUAAGGGAGAUUGAUUUUGUCACACACACAUACACUCAUGCACAUACACACCCAGUUGCUCCCACCACCCAGUUUUUCUUCUCCACUACAGCGCCGCUUGUUUAUACGGGUUCUUGAUAUCACGCUUCUGUUCAACAUUCAAGCAACGAUUACCGUUUCCUAUUGAAAAGUUUUAAAGACUUCGCUGGACUACGGAGCUCACUUCUGUAAAGUUAUUCUCUGGUACCCCCAUCGGCACUUCCCUUAUCGCGUCUCAGAUCAUUAGAACACAUGCACACGCACGCUUUUGUGAGAAGCUAGCAACGGAUAGCCCUAUUUGUGUAGUAGCUACGAGUUUGUGAUAGGGGAGCCCGCCCUAGAUCAUUAACUGGCGCGGUAGCAAUCCUUUGUGUGGGAUGGUGUGUUUGGGUCAUGCCUUCCUAGUCGCUCACCCAUUCAUAACAAACGCUGCUGGUCACCCACGUAAGCCGGCCGUCGUGCAUCAUGGCUGGUAUGCUUGCACUUUUCCUUCAUGCGACGUCUGCUGCCGCUAGCUCUCAGCUGUUCCCCAUCUGGCCCCCAUUGCUGCUGUAUGUAACGUAUGUGUGUAUCUGCCAACAGUUGCAAUGGCCCAGCCUCUGAGCUGAACAUUACUGUUACUGCUUAUGAGAACGGGAGCGGCGUAAUCAGGGCCUCAUCUGCGACCCCUCCUAACCACCAUCCCAAGUCAGGCGAGUCCGCCAGUCAGCGAGUUGCGACCUGGCUGCUGUCUGGCUGCGUUGCGUGCUGCGGCGUCCCUGCCUGACAGAGUAUAUUGCUUAGGUCGUCAGAUGAUGAGGUACUUCAGUUCUCGGCAGUGAUUACCAUACAAUGUAACUACGAAUAUAUGCUGCCUGCUGCCUGUCCAUCCAUCCGCCAUCUAUAGCCGCAUGGUUAACAUCCCUAACCACUGCUGCACGCAACCGCUCACCCUUGCAUGUCCUUCCCUGGUACGGCUAUUCCGCUUACCACCCUACUACUGCAAUACCAGAAGUUGCAGUGGAAGUAGAGGAAGUGCAGCCUGGCGAGCAGCAGGUGGUCGACACCGAGCCGACCGUGGUGACGCCUCUGGAACAGGCUGCUGUGGUCAUCACCCCAGACACGCGGCCACAACCCAACCUGAAGCUGUGUGUGCGGUUAAUGGACCCCGCUGCUGAUGUUGAGGCUGGCGACAGCAGCAACAGUCCCACAGCAGGUGCCGUCACGGGUCUCAUAUGCCUGCACUCGAAGGAGGAGGAGGUCAGCGGCAGUGGCAGCGACAGUGCUGGUGGUGGUCCUCCCUGUCAUGGUAGCAAUGUGGUGGAGCUGUCUCCGGUGGUACGCGGCAAGGGCACCUUUGGUCGGGUGGUGGAAGGUACUUACCGGGGCCAGCGAGUGGCGGUGAAGCUUCUGGCCAGCGAGGGCCCCUGGGGAUGCCCCAUCGAGGCCUUCGCCUCCAGCUUUGCGCAGGAAGUGCAGGUAGGGUGCACGGGGGUGGGUUAGGGGUAGGUGCGGCUGGGCUUGAUUCCCCCCACGUCACGCAUAACAUACAGGCACGCGCUCGCCAACCAAUGCUGUAACCGCACGCCACCCCUCGCAAGUCCGCUCUUGUAGGUAGCCAGGUGUGUCUUGCAGUGACGAAGUGGUGCAUGCUACUGGUGCACUACAGCUCCUGACAGUGACUUCGUACAUCGCCCUCGAUCCGUACACUUAGGUGCUGAGCCGCUGUUAUCACCCAAAUAUUGUGCGACUGCUGGCGGCCUGUGUGGAGUCGCCGCGGCUGUGUUUGGUUCUGGAGCUUAUGGAGACUUCACUGGAGCGCCUUAUGUACGGAGACCCGACAGCCCAGCCGAUGCCAUUGCCAAAGGCAAGCUAGUACGCCAUAUGUAUGACGUGUAUAUAACUGCACCAGGAAUGGAGCUGAUAGUCGACGUGGUGAUAUUGGGUGCCGGGUGCAGGUUGGUAGGUGGUAGGUGAAGAGUCGUCGCGUUCCUCCUUCACGCUCUCACCCACCUGCCUGCCUGUGCAUGGUUCGGGUGUUCAUCCCAUCACUUAACCAACCAAGCAGCGCCCUGCACGCACGACCAGGGCGCCUAGGUGUGCCUGCAUCCAUCCAUGCCCCAUCGCUCCUGCUGCUGUUGUUGCUGCUAUUACCCCAUCAGGUGCUUCAUAUCGCCAUAUCCAUUGCCAACGCGCUGGCCUACCUGCACCCCACCAUCAGUCACCGGGACCUCAAGGUACGGAGUCGUACAAUUGCUUGUAACUUGUACAUUUCGGUGUCGUUCGUGUAGCGGCUAGCUAGCCAGUUGUCGGCGAAGAACGGACAUCUCGCGCAUUUAAGUGUAUAUGGCUCAGGAAAUUAGGAACGAUUCAGCUCAAAAGUACUAGACCUGCUCGGCGCCUUCACCUUUGCUGGACCCCUCCUUCCUAUCGCUACCUGAUACCCCCUCCUCUC
rnacentral:lncRNA from 1 species